CAAAAACAUCGCCUCUUGCUCCCCCAAUAUAAGAGGUCCCACCUGCCCCCUGACUAUAUGUUUAACGGCCACGGUAUCCUAACCGUGCAAAGGUAGCGCAAUCAUUUGUCUUCUAAUUAAAGACCUGUAUGAACGGCAUUACGAGAGCUUACCUGUCUCCUCUUUAAAGUCAAUAAAAUUGAUCUCCCCGUGCAGAAGCGGGGAUAUACACAUAAGACGAGAAGACCCUGUGGAGCUUUAGGCACUAAAAUAUAUAUAUAUUACACAAAUAUAACCUUAUUUCAAUGCCUUCGGUUGGGGCGACCAAGGAGAAUUAACCAACCCCCACGUGGAAUAGAAGCACUCCUUCUCAAACCAAGAGUUACUACUCUAAUUAAUAGAACUUCUAACCAUUCAAUAUAAGACCCGGCAACGCCGAUCUACGAACUAAGUUACCCCAGGGAUAACAGCGCAAUCCCCUUUAAGAGCCCAUAUCGACAAGGGGGUUUACGACCUCGAUGUUGGAUCAGGACACCCCAAUGGUGCAUCCGUUAUUAAAGGUUCGUUUGUUCAACGAUUAAAGUCCUACGUGAUC
rnacentral:rRNA from 1 species